GGGUUUUAGUGGCGAACGGGUGAGUAACACGUAAGCAACCUACCCUAAAGACGAGGAUAACCAUUGGAAACAGUGGCUAAGACUGGAUAGGAAGAUAAAAGGCAUCUUUUAUCUUUUAAAAGACCUAGUAAUAGGUAUGCUUUAGGAGGGGCUUGCGCCAUAUUAGUUAGUUGGUAGGGUAAUGGCCUACCAAGACGAUGAUGUGUAGCUGGACUGAGAGGUUGAACAGCCACAUUGGGACUGAGACACGGCCCAAACUCCUACGGGAGGCAGCAGUAGGGAAUUUUCGGCAAUGGAGGAAACUCUGACCGAGCAACGCCGCGUGAAUGACGAAGUACUUCGGUAUGUAAAGUUCUUUUAUCAAGGAAGAAAAGCAAAUGGCGAACCAUUUGUUUGCCGGUACUUGAUGAAUAAGCCCCGGCUAAUUAUGUGCCAGCAGCCGCGGUAAGACAUAAGGGGCAAGUGUUAUCCGGAAUUAUUGGGCGUAAAGGGUGCGUAGGCGGUCUAGUAAGUCAGUGGUGUAAUGGCAACGCUUAACGUUGUCCGGCUAUUGAAACUGCUAAACUUGAGUUAGAUAGAGGCGAGUGGAAUUCCAUGUGUAGCGGUAAAAUGCGUAAAUAUAUGGAGGAACACCAGAGGCGUAGGCGGCUCGCUGGGUCUUAACUGACGCUGAGGCACGAAAGCGUGGGGAGCAAACAGGAUUAGAUACCCUGGUAGUCCACGCCGUAAACGAUGAGUACUAAGUGUCGGGUUAAACCGGUACUGAAGUUAACACAUUAAGUACUCCGCCUGAGUAGUACGUACGCAAGUAUGAAACUUAAAGGAAUUGACGGGACUCCGCACAAGCGGUGGAUCAUGUUGUUUAAUUCGAAGAUACCCGAAAAACCUUACCAGGUCUUGACAUGUUUUUGCAAAAUGAUAGUAAUAUCGUGGAGGUUACCAGAAACACAGGUGGUGCAUGGUUGUCGUCAGCUCGUGUCGUGAGAUGUUAGGUUAAGUCCUAAAACGAGCGAAACCCUUAUCGUUAGUUGCCAGCACGUUAUGGUGGGGACUUUAACGAGACUGCCAAUGAUAAAUUGGAGGAAGGUGAGGAUCACGUCAAAUCAGCAUGCCCCUUAUGACCUGGGCUACAAACGUGAUACAAUGGCUGUUACAAAGGGUAGCUGAAACGCAAGUUCUUGGCCAAUCCCCAAAAACAGUCCCAGUCCGGAUUGAAGUCUGCAACUCGACUUCAUGAAGUUGGAAUCGCUAGUAAUCGCGAAUCAGCAUGUCGCGGUGAAUACGUUCUCGGGGUUUGUACACACCGCCCGUCAAACCACGAAAGUUGGCAAUACCCCAAAACGGUAGCCUAACUCGUUU
rnacentral:rRNA from 1 species